AUCUUUAGCCAUACCACUCUGAAUGCCCGCAAUCUUAUCUGAUCUCAGAAGAUAAGCAGGGUUAGGCCUAGGGGGCUGCUUAAUACU
ensembl:rRNA 5S_rRNA 5S ribosomal RNA